rnacentral:rRNA from 1 species
AUUGAACGCUGGCGGCAGGCCUAACACAUGCAAGUCGAGCGGAGCGGCGGACGGGUGAGUAAUGCCUAGGAAUCUGCCUGGUAGUGGGGGAGAACGUCCUGACACGGGCGCUAAUACCGCAUACCAUCAGGUGAGCCUAGGUCGGAUUAGCGAGUUGGUGGGGUAAAGGCCUACCAGGUCGACGAUCCGUAACUGGUCUGAGAGGAUGAUCAGUCACACUGGAACUGAGACACGGUCCAGACUCCUACGGGAGGCAGCAGUGGGGAAUAUUGGACAAUGGGCGAAAGCCUGAUCCAGCCAUGCCGCGUGUGUGAAGAAGGUCUUCGGAUUGUAAAGCACUUUAAGUUGGGAGGCGUUACCAACAGAAUAAGCACCGGCUAACUUCGUGCCAGCCGCCGCGGUAAUUC